CCAGCAGCCGCGGUAAUACGUAGGGGGCCAGCGUUGUUCGGAAUUACUGGGUGUAAAGGGUUCGUAGGCGGUGUGGCAAGUCGGGAGUGAAAUUUCUGGGCUUAACCCAGAAGCUGCUUCCGAAACUGCUGUGCUCGAGUGUGGGAGAGGCGCGUGGAAUUGCAGGUGUAGCGGUGAAAUGCGUAGAUAUCUGCAGGAACACCAGUGGCGAAAGCGGCGAGCUGGAUCACAACUGACGCUGAGGAACGAAAGCUAGGGGAGUAAACAGGAUUAGAUACCCUGGUAA
rnacentral:rRNA from 1 species